UACGUAGGGAGCAAGCGUUGUUCGGAUUUACUGGGCGUAAAGGGCGCGUAGGCGGCAAAUUAAGUCAGCUGUGAAAUCUCCGAGCUUAACUCGGAACGGUCAGCUGAUACCGAUCUGCUAGAGUGCGGAAGGGGCAAUCGGAAUUCUUGGUGUAGCGGUGAAAUGCGUAGAUAUCAAGAGGAACACCUGAGGUGAAGACGGGUUGCUGGGCCGACACUGACGCUGAGUGCGCGAAAGCCAGGGGAGCAAACGGG
rnacentral:rRNA from 1 species